UACGAAGGGGGCUAGCGUUGCUCGGAAUCACUGGGCGUAAAGGGUGCGUAGGCGGGUCUUUAAGUCAGGGGGGAAAUCCUGGAGCUCAACUCCAGAACUGCCUUUGAUACUGAAGAUCUUGAGUCCGGGAGAGGUGAGUGGAACUGCGAGUGUAGAGGUGAAAUUCGUAGAUAUUCGCAAGAACACCAGUGGCGAAGGCGGCUCACUGGCCCGGUACUGACGCUGAGGAGCGAAAGCUAGGGGAGCAAACGGG
rnacentral:rRNA from 1 species